rnacentral:rRNA from 1 species
AUUGAACGCUGGCGGCAGGCCUAACACAUGCAAGUCGAGCGAGCGGCGGACGGGUGAGUAAUGUCUGGGAAACUGCCUGAUGGAGGGGGAUAACUACUGGAAACGAUAGCUAAUACCGCAUACCAUCAGAUGGGCCCAGAUGGGAUUAGCUAGUAGGUGGGGUAACGGCUCACAUAGGCGACGAUCCCUAGCUGGUCUGAGAGGAUGACCAGCAACACGGGAACUGGGACACGGUCCAGAAUCCUACGGGAGGAAGCAGUGGGGAAUAUUGCACAAUGGGCGAAAGCCUGAUGCAGCCAUCCCGCGUGUGUGAAGAAGGCCUUCGGGUUGUAAAGCACUUUCAGCGGGGAGGCGUUACCUGCAGAAGAAGCACCGGCUAACUCCGUGCCAGCAGCCGCGGUAAUUC